rnacentral:rRNA from 1 species
GACGAACGCUGGCGGCGUGCUUAACACAUGCAAGUCGAACGGAAAGGCCCUGCUUUUGUGGGGUGCUCGAGUGGCGAACGGGUGAGUAACACGUGAGUAACCUGCCCUUGACUUUGGGAUAACUUCAGGAAACUGGGGCUAAUACCGGAUAGGAGCUCCUGCUGCAUGGUGGGGGUUGGAAAGUUUGGGCGGUUGGGGAUGGACUCGCGGCUUAUCAGCUGGUUGGUGGGGUAGUGGCUUACCAAGGCUUUGACGGGUAGCCGGCCUGAGAGGGUGACCGGCACAAUUGGGCUUGGGAUACGGCCCAGACUCCUACGGGAGGAAGAAGUGGGGAAUAUUGCACAAUGGGCGGAAGCCUGAUGCAGCAACGCCGCGUGCGGGAUGACGGCCUUCGGGUUGUAAACCGCUUUAGCCUGUGACGAAGCGUGAGUGACGGUAAUGGGUAAAGAAGCACCGGCUAACUACGUG